rnacentral:rRNA from 1 species
GAAUCCCGUCCACCGAUUGACUAAGGUUUCCAGAGGAAGGCUCGUCCGCUCUGGGUUAGUCGGGUCCUAAGCUGAGGCCGACAGGCGUAGGCGAUGGAUAACAGGUUGAUAUUCCUGUACCACCUAGUAUCGUUUUAAUCGAUGGGGGGACGCAGUAGGAUAGGCGAAGCGUGCUGUUGGAGUGCACGUCCAAGCAGUAAGGCUGAGUGUUAGGCAAAUCCGGCACUCAUAAGGCUGAGCUGUGAUGGGGAGAGGAAAUUGUUUCCUCGAGUCGUUGAUUUCACACUGCCGAGAAAAGCCUCUAGAUAGAUAACAGGUGCCCGUACCGCAAACCGACACAGGUAGUCAAGAUGAGAAUUCUAAGGUGAGCGAGCGAACUCUCGUUAAGGAACUCGGCAAAAUGACCCCGUAACUUCGGGAGAAGGGGUGCUCUUUAGGGUUCACGCCCAGAAGAGCCGCAGUGAAUAGGCCCAAGCGACUGUUUAUCAAAAACACAGGUCUCUGCUAAACCGUAAGGUGAUGUAUAGGGGCUGACGCCUGCCCGGUGCUGGAAGGUUAAGAGGAGUGGUUAGCUUCUGCGAAGCUACGAAUCGAAGCCCCAGUAAACGGCGGCCGUAACUAUAACGGUCCUAAGGUAGCGAAAUUCCUUGUCGGGUAAGUUCCGACCCGCACGAAAGGCGUAACGAUUUGGGCACUGUCUCAACGAGAGACUCGGUGAAAUCAUAGUACCUGUGAAGAUGCAGGUUACCCGCGACAGGACGGAAAGACCCCGUGGAGCUUUACUGUAGCCUGAUAUUGAAAUUCGGCACAGCUUGUACAGGAUAGGUAGGAGCCUUUGAAACGUGAGCGCUAGCUUACGUGGAGGCGUUGGUGGGAUACUACCCUAGCUGUGUUGGCUUUCUAACCCGCACCACUUAUCGUGGUGGGAGACAGUGUCAGGCGGGCAGUUUGACUGGGGCGGUCGCCUCCUAAAAGGUAACGGAGGCGCUCAAAGGUUCCCUCAGAAUGGUUGGAAAUCAUUCAUAGAGUGUAAAGGCAUAAGGGAGCUUGACUGCGAGACCUACAAGUCGAGCAGGGUCGAAAGACGGACUUAGUGAUCCGGUGGUUCCGCAUGGAAGGGCCAUCGCUCAACGGAUAAAAGCUACCCCGGGGAUAACAGGCUUAUCUC